UACGGGGGGGGCAAGCGUUGUUCGGAAUUACUGGGCGUAAAGGGCUCGUAGGCGGCCAACUAAGUCAGACGUGAAAUCCCUCGGCUUAACCGGGGAACUGCAUCUGAUACUGGAUGGCUUGAGAUUGGGAGAGGGAUGCGGAAUUCCAGGUGUAGCGGUGAAAUGCGUAGAUAUCUGGAGGAACACCGGUGGCGAAGGCGGCAUCCUGGACCAAUAUUGACGCUGAGGAGCGAAAGCCAGGGGAGCAAACGGG
rnacentral:rRNA from 1 species